GAGUUAUAGAUUACAAGAGUGAGUGGGUAAGGUUCUGUUGCCUACAAUGUGCAGAAAGUCAGACUAGAUAAUCACGAUGGGCCCUUCUGACCUUAAAGUUUG